UUUUUUUUUUUUUUUUUGCUUAAUUCAAUUUUAUCUGUUUUUAUUCUCAUUUUAUUGAAAUCCUGAUUUUGGUAUUACUUAAACCCUCAAGUUCUUUUAGACUAGAGUAAAAACAAACAUUCUUGAUAUUUGAUGAUUAUUUUAAAACCAUCCAUGAAUGGCCAACUUUUAUAUGAAUAAAAUAUAAUCGACAUUAAAAUUAUACUGAGCAUGGUGUAAUCUUCGUCUAAUUAUUCAAAUUGCAUUUUGGAUCUUGUCAUAAUUCCAGGAUAUUAUCAUUAGUAUAAAUUAGUAUUAAGUAAAUAUCAGUUGGAGAGGUCCCGUUGUGGCCCAGGGGAAACAAAUCCAAUUAGGAAACAUGAGGUUGCCGGUUUGAUCCCUGGCCUUGCUCAGUGGGUUAAGGAUCCAGCGUUGCUGUGAGCUGUGGUGUAUGCCACAGAUGUAGCUCGGAUCCUGUAUUAGCUGUGGCAUAGGCCAGCAGCUGUAGCUCUGGUUAGAUUCCUAGUCUGGGAACUUCCAUAUGCCGUGGGUGCACCCCUAAAAAGCAAAAGCAAAAAAAAAAGGUGGAAUAUCAAUUAAUAUCAGCUACAAAAGUAUAGAAAUGCCAGUUAAAGAUUUCUAAAUGACAAUGGUCAUGGUGUUGAUAUAAUGAAAAUGAUGACUAUUUGUCUACUGAUUCGUUCAGUAAAGAUGGAUGAGUGCCUUCUCUGUACCAGGUGAAUGAAGUCCAUGUUCGAAAGGGGGGGUUGUUUUGGUCUGAAUUGUGUCCCUCCUCAUUCAUACGCUGAAGUCCUAACCCCUAGUAGCUCAGAAUGUGAUCUCAUUUGGAGAGAGAGUCUUUAGCGAGGUAACUGAGUAAAAACAAGGUCAGCGGGUGGGCCCUAGCCCGAUAUGACUGUGUCCUUCUACGCAGGAAGCUUGGACACAGAGGCUCACAUAGAGGGAAGAUGCUAUGCAGAGACACAGGAGAAGACGGCCAUCUACAAGCCCGGGAGAGAGGCCUGUCACAGCUCCUUCCCACAAGGAACCGACCCUGCUGAUUGGUUAAUUUUGACCAAUUCGACCUUGCUGAACCUUAAUUUUGGACUUCCAGCCUCCAGCACUGGGAGAGAAUAGAUUUCUGUUGUUUAAGCCACUCUGUUUGUGGUACCUUGUCUCCAAAACCCUAGCAAACUGCUCCAGGAGGAACGGGCUUGGAGAGGGGAUGGAAGCUAAUGGGUUCAAGGAACAGAAAGGAUCCAGUUCAGCAGAGCCCAGUGGGUCAGGGAGACAGGGGAGUGCAGGAUUUUGGGUGUGUGUGUGUGUGUAAACUAUUACCCCCCUGUGAAUGGAAGGCGUGGCUCUCUUCCUUGAGUUCAGAGCCAGGCCUGAGGACGUGGAAUGGGAUAAGCUACUAGAAGAAAGAGACCUCAAAAUAUAGUGGCUUAAUUAGGGGAGAGGUUUGAGUUUCUUCCACCCAAUGGAGCAGAGGAGCGGAGCGGUCUAGAUCUGGAAGGAUCGGAUGCUGGUAGGACGGAGCUGCCAUCUUCCACCGCGGCUUCCUUCCCCGGGCCUGAGGCAGCUACUCCCGGAGGUGCCACUCCUCGCCAGGUGACAGCAGGGGAAGACAGAACAGAGGCCUGGAGCUUCCAUAUAAAAAACCAUGAUCUGCAAGGUGCAUGCAUGGCUUCUGUUCUCAAACCCUUGGCAGGAGCACAGCCGCGUGACCACACCUGCUGCCAUGGAGUCUAAGACGGGGGGGCUCUAGCGAUCACUUGAGGGGUCCAAUUGCCAAGAGUUCCCUGCCAACUCAGAGAACUGUGUUUCUAGAAAGAGAAAGAGAGACUAGCCUCUGGGGAACAAUCAGCAGCCUCUGUCGCAGCCCAACCUGCUAGCUGGAAGGCUGGACUCAUCUCUUGCUCUUCCUGCAAGGCUCCAGGAUGGCGGAGGUGGCAUUCAAAAUGGACUGUCUGUUGUCUGCUGUCAUCCCUCCAAUGAGUUCCCAAAAAGAGCUCUUCCAAUGAGAUGGCUGGCCAGAGCAUGGGUGCCGAGGCCUGUCUAGUUCACUUCCAGCACAUCCCUGAAAAAUCUCCCCACCUCGCCCACAAGAAGCCCUCUGCGGUCACGGUGCUUUCUGCCACUUGGUCCUUGUCUUGCAUCCUUCACGCCCAGGAACUACCAGGGGCAGGUCGUUUAUGUGUCUGGCACGCGCUGCAGCUCUCCAGCAUUUGGAACUUUUAUUGCAUGUCAGAAGCAUUUUUUAAUACUGCUGCUAACAAUAGUACCUAGCAGGGGCGGACAGGCAAGAACGUGUCAGAAGGCAGUGGUUCCCAUUACUGUGCUUUCAUUGUUCCCUGGAACAUGACAGACGGGAUCAAUUCAGGCUUGCCUUUUCAGUUCUCCUACUCAGGUUACCGAUCCCAUUACUAGAAGUCCUGCUUUGCUGGCGUCCGUAGAAACAUGCCACAAAUACAGUGUGUGGGGUGUUCUCAUGCUCCACUGAUGCAGGCUGAGAUGGAAAAUUUGGUGUCUGUGCAAGAAAAAGGUUCCAACUCCAUAGCCCGAGGGUGUCUUGAAGUGAGGGCACAAAGACUGGAUACGGGCUAAAUCUUGCCUGCCUUCUUGGGUGCAAAAUGGAAAAGGACAAGCAGAGAAAGCAAAAUCACCUGCCUUUUGAUCUGUUCCUCCACCUCUCAUUCUUUAAAAGUUUUCUCUGUCCAGGACCGUAAACAUUGAUAUAAAUUGCUAACCUUAUUGAAUUCGAGUUUAUGUCAAGAACUGUGCAGGGAGCUUUCCAUGAAUUAGCUUCUUUGAACUUCACAGCAACUUACUGCUAUAGGUACUGUGGGUAUUCCCAUUUUACAGAUGAGGAAAAUGAGAGUUGGAGAUGUUUGGGUUAUGUGUUUACUAUAGCACAGCUGACAAGGGACAGAGCCAGUAUCUGAACCCAGGUCUUUGUGACCCCAGAGCCUGCACCGGUAACUCCAAUUCCUUAUUGCCUGUUAAGAUGAGCAGAGAAGAUUGCAAUUUCCAGUUGUUUCUUCCCACCAUAGCCUGGUACCUAAUGGCCAUCCCUACUGAGAAAAGCACAGGGCACCCCAGUCUGGCGAAGCCCCUUCCUCUCCCCUGAACUACACUGAUGUAGACAGGUCCUCCCAUCCUCCUCCCUUCACGACUCUGAUUCCAGAUGCACCAGGUUGCUAGUCUUCCCCCUGGUUAGUUACUGGGUCCUACAGUACUGUUUUCCCACACUGCUCCACCCAUGCUUCAGCUGCCACAUAGGCGUCGUGUUGUCUUUGGUGGCUGGCCUAAGACCCCAGGUCAGGGGGCCGCACCCUGAGGUCUGAGCCAGGGACACACACAACAUAUGAGGGCCCCACUUAUUGUUGCUGGGGGUCUCCUAUGGUCCUGCCAUAAGGAAUUGAGUCUGCAAAAACACCACCUUGCAAAACAUGUGCUGAGAGUGAUCACGCUCUAAAGGGACACGUUGCCACAGAACGUGGUGGAACAAGAGUCCCCGCCUGGGAUUCCAGUGAAGCCAUCUUUCCCUGAUCACCUGCUGUGCGCUAGGUACCAGGUUCAAUUCUUUUGUUUACCUGAUCACAUGGGAACCUCAAAAUGACUCUGUGAGGUGGGCUGUCUAAUUGAUAUUUUACAAACGAGAAAGCUGAGGCUCGGUAGCUUAAAUCACUUCUCAAAGGGUAUUUGGCUUAUAAAUAGAAUCUUUAGUCCCUAAUUCCAAUGUUCUUUCCUUACCCAUAGCCCCAUCACAGAGGCAGAAAAUGCAGGUUCUCAUUUUAACAGCAGCCCUUAUAGCUCUGGCAAUAGUCAUGUGACGCAAUAGCAGCCAAUGAAACUAGAGGGGAACUCUGCUGAGGGAAUUCUGGGCAAGGUAAAAUCUGUGUAACAAAAGAAAGAGAUAAGAGGAAAAGCUGCAUCUGUUCCUUCCUACCUUUGAACAAACUUGUGUCAAGACAUGAUGUAUGGCGCCUUGGCAGCCAUGUUGCAGUAAUGAGGGGGAGUGCCAGGAGCUCCUCAGAGAAGCCCUGACGUGGUUGAGAUACUGAUCCUGCUUGGAAUCAUCUCCCUUUAGAUGAUUUACUAUGUGAGAAAAAUAAGCACAAGUGGGAGUGUCCUAAUACAUCUCUGCUCCCUUCCACUUCCUCCCAUUACCCUCUCCUUGGGAAGCAUCAGAGACCUCUCUCCGCUUGCUCAGUGAUAACCCAAAUUCCGUACACAGGAGACAAGGCUUUGCACUUCUCAGAUGACCUUAGGUCUGGUUUGUCUGGGACCUUUCUGGGACAGUUCUAGUUUAUGCCUAUGGUUCUGGAGUAAUUUUAAAAGAUGCUAAAAAUAUGGUCCUGGAUGGAUGUUAAAUUCUAUGGCAAAGUGAUUCCUUUUACAGAGACGAAACGCUUAAGUGUGAAUACCACUGUAAGAGAGGGAAUAUAGAGUCUCCAAUUCAUGGUGAAGGGGCAAAUGGCUCGCAUUUUGGGAGAGGGUGUAGGAGGGUGCAGACAGGGUGAAAGGGGUUCCCUGGGGUGUGGAAAGGCCCGGGAAUGAGAAACUGGGUGUUCCAAGAGCAAGUGUCACCCACUCCCUAGAUUUUCCAGUGUUCUACUCUGCUCCUAAGAAAUACAAAGCCUCUGUUGCUGCGCUUUCUUUCUUUCCCUGCUUCCUCUCCUUUUAAAUAGUCCCAAAUCUACCUUACACCAGCAACCCUGGGCUUCCUGGAACCUACCGCUUGGCAUAAAGUCGCAAACUCUUGUCUGGAUAACUCCCUGUUUUGAUGACAUCUUUCCUAGGUCUCUAUAAGAUUGACAAAGAUAUUAUGUACAGUGAUAAAGCCACUCUCAGCCAUGCUAUUUCAAGUCGGGUUGUUUCCCAGACCUUUUUGGACCCCUCAAAACCUGAAGUUAUUUGGAACACACCCCACCCCACCCCCUCCUUAUCAUGGGCACUCCCUGACCCUGAAUAACGACAAUCAGGCCUGCCUCUGCUCCUCCGCCCAUCAAUUGAUGUUUUACCUGCCUCCUGUGCUAAUAAAAACAAGUCACAAAUAGGGCUGCUUACCCAUCCUGGCAACAAGUAUUUCAAUGCAUAACUUAGUCUUGAUUUAAAUUAUAGAGGCUCAUUAUAUGUGAGAAAACCGGGCUGCCCCAUAAGCCUAUUAGAAUGAUGAGCUGUGUGCCGGCAGCACCACUAGCUGUCCCUGGGGACUUGAAUCUAGCACUAGAAUGAGCCCUUGUGCUCCGGGCAGCAGCACAAAGAUGUGAGACAGGCAGCCAGAGAGGGCUGCGGUUCCCAGCCUUCCUGCUGGGACAGGGGACAGGCCGGGGGUGUGACCAAGGAAGGAUCCCGUUCUUCCUGAU
ensembl:lncRNA